rnacentral:rRNA from 1 species
AGGGUGCAAGCGUUAUCCGGAUUCACUGGGUUUAAAGGGUGCGUAGGUGGGAAUGUAAGUCAGGGGUGAAAUCUCCGUGCUUAACAUGGAAACUGCCAUUGAUACUAUGUUUCUUGAAUCUUCCGGAGGUCAGCGGAAUAUGUCAUGUAGCGGUGAAAUGCUUAGAUAUGACAUAGAACACCAAUUGCGAAGGCAGCUGACUACAGGGGCAUUGACACUGAGGCACGAAAGCGUGGGGAUCAAACAGG